rnacentral:rRNA from 1 species
GAUGAACGCUGGCGGCGUGCUUAACACAUGCAAGUCGAACGGUGAAGGCGGAGCUUGCUCUGCUGGAUCAGUGGCGAACGGGUGAGUAACACGUGAGCAAUCUGCCCCUGACUCUGGGAUAAGCGCUGGAAACGGCGUCUAAUACAGGAUACGAGCUGCGAAGGCAGCUUCAGCAGCUGGAAAGAAUUUCGGUCAGGGAUGAGCUCGCGGCCUAUCAGCUUGUUGGUGAGGUAAUGGCUCACCAAGGCGUCGACGGGUAGCCGGCCUGAGAGGGUGACCGGCCACCCUGGGACUGCGACACGGCCCAGACUCCUACGGUAGGCAGCAGUGGGGAAUAUUGCACAAUGGGCGCAAGCCUGAUGCAGCAACCCCGCGUGUGGGACGCCGGCCUUCGGGUUGUAAACCUCUUUUAGCAGGGAAGAAGCGGAAGUGACGGUACCUGCAGAAAAAGCGCCGGCUAACUACGUG